rnacentral:rRNA from 1 species
GACAGAGGCCUCAAGCGUUAGGCGGAAUCACUGGGCUUAAAGCGUGUGUAGGCGGAUCGUUAAGUGUCUUGUGAAAUCCCACGGCUCACCCGUGGAACUGCUGGGCAUACUGGCGAUCUUGGGCCAACUAGGGGCAGCCGGAACAAGCGGUGGAGCGGUGAAAUGCGUAGAUAUCAGGAGGAACACCGGUGGCGAAGGCGGGUCUCUGGGCCGAUACUGACGCUGAGGAGCGAAAGCGUGGGGAGCGAACAGG